rnacentral:rRNA from 1 species
ACGUAGGGUGCAAGCGUUAAUCGGAAUUACUGGGCGUAAAGCGUGCGCAGGCGGUUGUGCAAGACAGGUGUGAAAUCCCCGGGCUUAACCUGGGAACUGCACUUGUGACUGCACGGCUUGAGUGCGGCAGAGGGGGAUGGAAUUCCGCGUGUAGCAGUGAAAUGCGUAGAUAUGCGGAGGAACACCGAUGGCGAAGGCAAUCCCCUGGACCUGUACUGACGCUCAUGCACGAAAGCGUGGGGAGCAAACAGGAUUAGAUACCCUGGUAGUCCACGCCCUAAACGAUGUCAACUGGUUGUUGGGUCUUCACUGACUCAGUAACGAAGCUAACGCGUGAAGUUGACCGCCUGGGGAGUACGGCCGCAAGGUUG